rnacentral:lncRNA from 1 species
CCUCUCUCCUUGCAAGCUCCCCAGCUUGGUCCCCAGCGCCACCGCCUCCGCCGCGGGUCAGGUCUGUCCUAUUGGGCGGAGACUCCCAGGUGACCUGGAAGCCCUUGCCCGGGGGGUGGAGCCGGAACCGAGCACCUGCAGUUCCGCCUCUUUCCAUCAGGGGGCGCGCCAGCACCGUUUCUUGCAACGGCUGUCCAAAUCCUGCCUGACUCCCUGCCCUUUCCGGCCAGCUUUCAGAAAGGCCAGAUAAAAGCUGGGGCAACUCGCGGGCUCCGCCAAUGAGGUAUACAAGGCUGAUUCCUAAGAGGAUGCUGUCUCCAGGGAGAUGGUCUUCACUUUCAGAAAGGGGAAUGCCACUUGCAGAGACUGACCUAGAAGCUGGGCUGGAGGCAGAGAAGAGUAUUACUUGGAACUCUGCAGACUGGUAUCUCAUCUUGCUUCUGCUACGGAUCCACAGGUGCUCUUUGGGCAGGUAACUUACCCUGCAAGGGCGUCCGUCUUCCCAGUGGUAAAAUGAAGGUAUUGAACUAGAUCAGUGGUUCUCAACCACAGGGAAGGUGAGGAGGGAUUGUUUUUCAACCACGCAACUCCCACUACACAGCAUACUUUAAUACUCUGCUACUCAAAGUGUCCUUGGACUGCCAGCAUCAGCACCAUCUGGAAGCUUGUGAAAAAUGCAGAAUCUUGGGCCCCACCUCAGACCUACUGAACAAGAAGCUGCACGCUAACAAGACUCCCAGGAUGCUGAGCAGUCAGGCUCACCAGGAUUAACGGGUAAAUGAAGGCCGCAUCGGGGGCUGGCCCCGUGGCCGAGCGGUUAAGUUCGCGCGCUCCGCUGCAGGCGGCCCAGUGUUUCGUUGGUUCGGGUCCUGGGCACGGACAUGACACUGCUCAUCGGACCACGCUGAGGCGGCGUCCCACAUGCCACAACUGGAAGGACCCACAACAAAGAAUAUACAGCUAUGUACCGGGGGGCUUUGGGAAGAAAAAGGAAAAAAUAAAAAAAUCUUUAAAAAAAAAAAA